rnacentral:misc_RNA from 1 species
UUUCCGUAGGUGAACCUGCGGAAGGAUCAUUAAAGAGUUAUGUAUCUUCGGGUACUAUCUCCAACCAAUUGUGAACUUACUUUGUUGCCUCGACAUCCGAUAGGUACCCGUAAGGUGUACCUAUCCUUCGGUUGCUUGCACCUGAAGAGUGGUGUCAGAGGAUUUUAAAAUUAGAUUAACUAAGUUUCUGAGUUAAACAAAUAAAAACAAAACUUUCAACAACGGAUCUCUUGGUUCUGGCAUCGAUGAAGAACGCAGC